CCUAACUGAAUGAGCCAGCCUUCAAGCCUUGUAUGGCGGGUAAAUGAUUCGCUCAAUUACUCUCCAACUGGGACCGCAAACCAUAUUAGACGCAAAACAGACGGCCGCAAACAUGAAAGGCAACUUUGGGGAUGUUUAAAUACCAAGAAACAAACACUUAAUUUGCUGUAAUUGCAUUAGUGAGGCAGCUAAUUGACAGCGGUGCGUGCGGCUGCUUCGGCCUGCAGUGUCCGACGCUGCCCGCUCACCUCUCUAAUGUGUGCGGCCGUGCGUACACGUGACUAAAUAUUAACAAGGUUACAGCGGGGCAAGGUUAUCUGGAAUGCUGUCAGCUCUAAGGAAAAACUCUGGGUUCAGCUCUAGGCGAGGUUUCAGGCCACGUGCAGUGACAUCAAGAGACAAGAGACAAAACAGUGGACAUGAGUCUAUGAUUUGAACACAGGACCUACCCUGGCAUGGGUCCAUUCUUGGCCAGGUUGUACACUUGUCUCGGGUUCAGAAGAUACUGGAACUUUCUGUAAAUCCUGCAGGAGUGAACAUGCAGAGAGAUCAGAAAACAUCACCAAGACAACAAACGGCGCUUCCUUGGAAUCAACCCUGAGAGUUGAACAAAGGCCACCCAAGAGAAGGUGGUGUCCAAAAGGACGGGGAGGCUGGUCCAUGAAAAGGCAGCUAGUGUGUGAAUCCCCAUGUGGCAACUCUCAUCAAAAACUUCUUGGACUUUGAGUGGGGCUACAUGUAGCCGACAACCUAUUACCACAUGAUGUUCAUGUUCUUCAGUUAAGUUCUGUUCUGUCAAAU